rnacentral:piRNA from 1 species
UGAUAAGUAAAAUAUUCACCUCAGUCCCUU